rnacentral:rRNA from 2 species
CCACGGUGGGAUCGAUGAUUGGGGUGAAGUCGUAACAAGGUAGCCGUAUCGGAAGGUGCGGCUGGAUCACCUCCUUU